CAAUAGCGUAUAUUAAAGUUGUUGCGGUUAAAAAGCUCGUAGUUGGAUUUCUGCUGAGGACGACCGGUCCGCCCUCCGGGUGAGCAUCUGGUUCGGCCUUGGCAUCUUCUUGGUGAACGUAUCUGCACUUGACUGUGUGGUGCGGUACCCAGGACUUUUACUUUGAGGAAAUUAGAGUGUUCCAAGCAGGCUCUCGUCGUGCAUAGCUCAGCAUGGAAUAAUAGCAUUGGAUCUCGAUUCCAAACUGUUGGUUGUAGGAAACGAGAUAAUGAUGAAGAGGGAUAGUUGGGGGCAUUCGUAUUUAACUGUCAGAGGUGAAAUUCUUGGAUUUGUUAAAGACGAACUACUGCGAAAGCAUCUGCCAUGGAUGUUUUCAUUGAUCAAGAACGAAAGUUAGGGGAUCGAAGACGAUUAGAUACCG
rnacentral:rRNA from 1 species